AUCGAUGAAGAACGCAGCGAAAUGCGAUAAGUAAUGUGAAUUGCAGAAUUCAGUGAAUCAUCGAAUCUUUGAACGCACAUUGCGCCCGGUGGUAUUCCACCGGGCAUGCCUGUUCGAGCGUCAUUUCAACCCUCAAAGCCUAGCUUUGGUGUUGGAGGAAGACCUGUAAAAAGGUCCCCUCCCAAAUUUAGUGGCGGGCUCGCUAGAAUUUUGAGCGUAGUAAUUUUACCUCGUUUUUAAAGACUAGUGGGACUUCUUGCCGUAAAACCCCCCAACUUUCUGAAAAUUGACCUCGAAUCAGGUAGGAAUACCCGCUGAACUUAAGCAUAUCAAUAAGCGGAGGAAAAGAAACCAACAGGGAUUGCCCUAGUAACGGCGAGUGAAGCGGCAACAGCUCAAAUUUGAAAUCUGGCUUCGGCCCGAGUUGUAAUUUGCAGAGGAUGUUUAUGGUGCAGUACCUUCCGAGUUCCCUGGAACGGGACGCCACAGAGGGUGAGAGCCCCGUCUGGAUGGAUACUAAACCUGUGUUAAACUCCUUCAACGAGUCGAGUAGUUUGGGAAUGCUGCUCUAAAUGGGAGGUAAAUCUCUUCUAAAGCUAAAUAUUGGCCAGAGACCGAUAGCGCACAAGUAGAGUGAUCGAAAGAUGAAAAGCACCUUGAAAAGGGGGUUAAACAGUACGUGAAAUUGUUGAAAGGGAAGCGUUUAUGACCAGACUUGUGCCGCGUGGCUCAUCCGAGGUUCUCCCCGGUGCACUCCACGCGGUUCAGGCCAACAUCGGUUUUCGUCGGAGGAUAAGAACAGUAGGAACGUGGCCCCUCUCGGGGGGUGUUAUAGCCUAUUGUACGAUACUCUGAUGGGGACCGAGGACCGCGCUUCGGCUAGGAUGUUGGCGUAAUGGUCAUUAGCGACCCGUCUUGAAACACGG
rnacentral:rRNA from 1 species